UACGAUGCAGGCAUAAAGAAUGGUGUUGUUAUUCUUACUUGUAUUUUAUGAUAUCAUACUCUAAUCACGUACAUGUUGAAAUAAUUAUAUCGAAUAACCCUCUUGUGGCAGAGAAUGAGACAAUUUUCCUAAGUUUAAAAAUUGCAUGUGGUCUAGGGUUUCAUCGUAUAAUUUCUCUUAUCUGUUAAUUUAUUUCUUAC
rnacentral:lncRNA from 1 species